UACGAAGGGGGCGAGCGUUGUUCGGAAUUACUGGGCGUAAAGGGCGCGUAGGCGGCCUGCUAAGUCGAACGUGAAAUCCCCGGGCUCAACCCGGGAACUGCGUCCGAGACUGGCGGGCUUGAAUCCGGGAGAGGGAUGCGGAAUUCCAGGUGUAGCGGUGAAAUGCGUAGAUAUCUGGAGGAACACCGGUGGCGAAGGCGGCAUCCUGGACCGGCAUUGACGCUGAGGCGCGAAAGCCAGGGGAGCAAACGGG
rnacentral:rRNA from 1 species